AACGAACGCUGGCGGCAUGCCUAACACAUGCAAGUCGAACGAGACCUUCGGGUCUAGUGGCGCACGGGUGCGUAACGCGUGGGAACCUGCCCUUAGGUUCGGAAUAACUCCCCGAAAGGGGUGCUAAUACCGGAUAAUGUCUUCGGACCAAAGAUUGAUCGCCUUUGGAUGGGCCCGCGUUGGAUUAGCUAGUUGGUAGGGUAAAAGCCUACCAAGGCGACGAUCCAUAGCUGGUCUGAGAGGAUGAUCAGCCACACUGGGACUGAGACACGGCCCAGACUCCUACGGGAGGCAGCAGUGGGGAAUAUUGGACAAUGGGCGAAAGGCUGAUCCAGCAAGGCCGCGUGAGUGAUGAAGGCCUUAGGGUUGUAAAGCUCUUUUACCCGGGAUGAUAAUGACAGUACCGGGAGAAUAAGCUCCGGCUAACUCCGUG
rnacentral:rRNA from 1 species